AAAUAAAGCUGAUAAGCUUUGGUUAAUGAUCUUCCAGGUCUCCUUGACUGAAGCUGAGGAGAAAUAUGAGCUUGCGAUCGAGUCCUGUGUUCAGCUGGAAAAGGAGAAAUCUGAACUGAUGUCUGAUGUGAAUGCCCUGCAAGGCUCAGUUCAGGAGCUGGAAAAAGAACUCUCUGAGAUGCGGAUAAGACAUGAUGAGCUAGCGACGAAGUAUGAGGAAAAGCUUCUGGCUCACAGUGAGAUGAAUUCCCAAUAUGAUCAGACGAAGGAAGCAUUAACGGAGAAAGAGGUGAAGGAAACUUUAACACACACUUCUCAUGUAACACAAAACAUUUCAGGCUGUUCUGAUGAGUCCUCAAAAAUGUCUGAAUGUGUAUGUAGAAAUAAAUAAAGUCAACAGGUUUUGUUGUUCAAUUUCCAG
ensembl:lncRNA